rnacentral:tRNA from 1 species
GGGCAUUUGGCACAGUGGUAGCGCGCACGCUUCGCAUGCGUGAGGUCCAGGAUUCAAUCCCCUGAAUGUCCA